UGGGGAAUCUUGCGCAAUGGGGGAAACCCUGACGCAGCGACGCCGCGUGCGGGAUGAAGGCCUUCGGGUUGUAAACCGCUUUCAGCAGGGACGAGGCCUUAUGGUGACGGUACCUGCAGAAGAAGCUCCGGCUAAAUACGUGCCAGCAGCCGCGGUAAUACGUAUGGAGCAAGCGUUAUCCGGAUUCAUUGGGCGUAAAGCGCUCGUAGGCGGUCUGUUAGGUCGGCAAGUUAAAUCCGGGGGCUCAACCCCCGUCCGCUUCCGAUACCGGCAGACUUGAGUUUGGUAGGGGAAGGUGGAAUUCCUAGUGUAGCGGUGGAAUGCGCAGAUAUUAGGAAGAACACCGGUGGCGAAGGCGACUUUCUGGACGAAAACUGACGCUCAGGUACGAAAGCGUGGGGAGCAAACAGG
rnacentral:rRNA from 1 species